rnacentral:rRNA from 1 species
GAUGAACGCUGGCGGCGUGCCUAAUACAUGCAAGUAGAGCGAAGGGACGAGAAGCUUGUUUCUCUGAUGUUAGCGGCGGACGUGUGAGUAACACGUGGAUCACCUCCCUAUAAGACUGGGAUAACUUCGGGAAACCGUAGCUAAUACCGUAUAAUAUAUUGAACCGUAUUAUUCAAAAGAAAAAUACGAUCUUGCUGUUACUUGUAGAUGGAGCCGCGCUGAAUUAGCUAGUUGGUAAGGUAACGGCUUACCAAGGCAACGCUGCAUAGCCGACCUAGGAGGGUGAUCGGCAAACCUGGAACUGAGACACGGUCCAGACUCCUACGGGAGGCAGCAGUAGGGAAUCUUCCGCAAUGGGCGAAAGCCUGACGGAGCAACGCCGCGUGAGUGAUGAAGGUCUUCGGAUCGUAAAACUCUGUUAUUAGGGAAGAACAUAUGUGUAAGUAAAUGUGCACACCUUGACGGUACCUAAUCAGAAAGCCACGGCUAACUACGUG